GACGAACGCUGGCGGCGUGCUUAACACAUGCAAGUCGAACGGAAAGGCCCUGCUUUUGUGGGGUGCUCGAGUGGCGAACGGGUGAGUAACACGUGAGUAACCUGCCCUUGACUUUGGGAUAACUUCAGGAAACUGGGGCUAAUACCGGAUAGGAGCUCCUGCUGCAUGGUGGGGGUUGGAAAGUUUCGGCGGUUGGGGUUGGACUGGCGGCUUACCAGCUUGUUGGUGGGGUAGUGGCUUACCAAGGCUUUGACGGGUAGCCGGCCUGAGAGGGUGACCGGCCACAUGGGGACUGAGAUACGGCCCAGACUCCUACGGGAGGCAGCAGUGGGGAAUAUUGCACAAUGGGCGGAAGCCUGAUGCAGCAACGCCGCGUGCGGGAUGACGGCCUUCGGGUUGUAAACCGCUUUCGCCUGUGACGAAGCGUGAGUGACGGUAAUGGGUAAAGAAGCACCGGCUAACUACGUG
rnacentral:rRNA from 1 species